ACCACUUCUCGGCCUUUUGGCUAAGAUCAAGUGUAGUAUCUGUUCUUAUCAGUUUAAUAUCUGAUAUGUCCUCCAAUCUUCCAAAUUUUUAUCCUUUUUAAUUAUUGGUAUCAUCUGGAACAGAAACAAAAAUCUAGGUAACACAUUCAUUUUAAUAGCCGCAAUCCUUCCCAAUAGGGAUAACUGCA